rnacentral:lncRNA from 1 species
CUUACCGCUAUGAUAACGUAUUUUCCGGUGUUUUCACAGUGCUGCGCUUCCUAAUCCCCAUUCCAUGGCAAUCCACAUGCCAUGAUGCCCGGAGUCAUUAACAAAGGAGACACACAGGGGCUCCUCACGUUGGCUUUCCAGGGUUUUGAUGAAAAUCUGUUUCCUCAUCUCAUACAAUGUGGCUGUACAGGAAGCAUGGUGAUGGCAUCUGCAUGGCGCCUGUGGAGGCCCCAGGGAGCUUUUACUCGUGAUGGAAGGCACAGAGGGAGUAGGCACAUCACAUGGUCCGAGGAGGAGCAAGAGAAAAUGGGAGUGGGGCUCUUUGUCCUGGGAAGAGUUUGCUGCAUCUUCCAGUUUCAGCAAUCAAAGAAGCAAAGUUCCCUGCAGUUCUUCAAGGAACCUUGAGAAUUCAGAAGGUCUUGGUGUGGCUGCAUCCAUCCUGCAGACAAAUGCCAAUCAGCAGAGGGGCCAUUCCCAGGGACACAUGUCUGGCUGACUUGGGCCUUGGCCAGGUAAGACACACAGCAUGCAUGCCUGCAUGAUUUAAUUCUGAAUGCCAUAGACCUGACAAGUCAUAAAAUAGCAACCAAUAAUUUUAUGUUAGAGUGCUCCCUUCCUCACAGAAAUCCAGCAUAUGUGAAGAUAGGUUGGAAUGUGUAAAGAAAAGCUAAGAAAGCAGAUUUCUGAUAAGAACAGCGUGUGACUUGUACAGCAGCUCUGAAUUACAGCCCGAAGGAUGGAAUGCCGACAGUUCCUUCUUCCUUACCUGUGAUGGCUAGAAUUUUAUUUAGCACAUCGUUUUUGAGCCAAUCUCAAAAUGAGAAAACUUUUGAGGAAUUAUGCAUAGUG